rnacentral:rRNA from 1 species
GCUUAACACAUGCAAGUCGAGGGGCAGCAUGGUCUUAGCUUGCUAAGGCCGAUGGCGACCGGCGCACGGGUGAGUAACGCGUAUCCAACCUGCCUUACACUCUUGGACAGCCUUCUGAAAGGGAGAUUAAUACAAGAUGUUAUCAUGAGUAAGCAUUUUCGCAUGAUUAAAGGUUUACCGGUGUAAGAUGGGGAUGCGUUCCAUUAGAUAGUAGGCGGGGUAACGGCCCACCUAGUCUUCGAUGGAUAGGGGUUCUGAGAGGAAGGUCCCCCACAUUGGAACUGAGACACGGUCCAAACUCCUACGGGAGGCAGCAGUGAGGAAUAUUGGUCAAUGGACGAGAGUCUGAACCAGCCAAGUAGCGUGAAGGAUGAAGGUUCUAUGGAUUGUAAACUUCUUUUAUACGGGAAUAAACGAAUCCACGCGUGGAUUUUUGCAUGUACCGUAUGAAUAAGGAUCGGCUAACUCCGUGCCAGCAGCCGCGGUAAUACGGAGGAUCCGAGCGUUAUCCGGAUUUAUUGGGUUUAAAGGGAGCGUAGAUGGGUUGUUAAGUCAGUUGUGAAAGUUUGCGGCUCAACCGUAAAAUUGCAAUUGAUACUGGCAGUCUUGAGUACAGUUGAGGUAGGCGGAAUUCGUGGUGUAGCGGUGAAAUGCUUAGAUAUCACGAAGAACUCCGAUUGCGAAGGCAGCUUACUAACCUGUAACUGACAUUGAUGCUCGAAAGUGUGGGUAUCAAACAGGAUUAGAUACCCUGGUAGUCCACACGGUAAACGAUGAAUACUCGCUGUAGGCGAUAUACAGUCUGCGGCCAAGCGAAAGCAUUAAGUAUUCCACCUGGGGAGUACGCCGGCAACGGUGAAACUCAAAGGAAUUGACGGGGGCCCGCACAAGCGGAGGAACAUGUGGUUUAAUUCGAUGAUACGCGAGGAACCUUACCCGGGCUUAAAUUGCAACCGAAUAUGGCGGAAACGCUAUAGCUAGCAAUAGCGGUUGUGAAGGUGCUGCAUGGUUGUCGUCAGCUCGUGCCGUGAGGUGUCGGCUUAAGUGCCAUAACGAGCGCAACCCUUGCCGAUAGUUACUAACAGGUCAUGCUGAGGACUCUGUCGGGACUGCCAUCGUAAGAUGUGAGGAAGGUGGGGAUGACGUCAAAUCAGCACGGCCCUUACGUCCGGGGCUACACACGUGUUACAAUGGGGGGUACAGAGGGCUGCUACCACGCAAGUGGAUGCCAAUCCCAAAAACCUCUCUCAGUUCGGAUUGAAGUCUGCAACCCGACUUCAUGAAGCUGGAUUCGCUAGUAAUCGCGCAUCAGCCACGGCGCGGUGAAUACGUUCCCGGGCCUUGUACACACCGCCCGUCAAGCCAUGGGAGCCGGGGGUACCUGAAGUGCGUAACAGCAAGGAGCGCCCUAGGGUAAAACUGGUGACUGGGGCUAAG